AUGUGCCAAGAGGCUGGUGGGCCCCGGGAGCUGCUGGUGGGCUCCAGGGAGCUGCUGGUGGGCUCCAGGGAGCUGCUGGUGGGCCCCGGGAGCUGCUGGUGGGCCCCGGGAGCUGCUGGUGGGCCCCGGGAGCUGCUGGUGAGCUCCAGGAGCUGCUGGUGGGCUCCAGGAGCUGCUGGUGGGCCCCAGGAGCGCGCGGUUGGUUGGGGUUGUCCCAAUGCUCCAGGUGGGAGAGCUGUGAAGUUGGUUUUGGAGUGGGAUCAACUGGAAAAGGGGUUUCCUGCCCUCUCCAGUGCGUGCCUUAUGCAGCUGUUCAGUUGUCAGUGUUUGUAUGCAUUUCCUGUGAGGUGAAUUUUGAACAUACUGGACAUUAAUAUUUUCCCUCUCUGUAUUUGUAACAGCAGUGACUUCCAAGCUUUGUUUUUGGGUGAGCUCCUUUAGUCUUGGCUGUUUUCUAACACUGCAUUCCCGGCUCUGUUACCGUUUCCUGGUUCCCGACUUGUUUGUUUAUCUCUAGCUUUGUUUUUUAAAGAUUUGUGAAAAGACCUGCAUAUCUAUGACAGGAAAACCAAUUUAUUUUCCUGAAUUAAUGACGUCAGGCUGGCAGCAGAGGAGUUGUGUGACGCUGACCGUGACCAGAGGGGACUUCCAGUUGGUUUCUCUUGUUUUGGGUUUUAUCUGAGAGUUUUAGAUGUGGAACAGAAGAUUGGGGAAAACCCUUUUCUUUAAAAAAAAGUGGGUGCUGUGGCCAGGAGGGGGGAUUUCAUCCCGGCUUCGGGCAAGCCCAGAUGGACCUUCAUGCCGUCCUGAUGGCACCAUCAGCUUCCUCUGCCCUGACAGCGGAGAGCGCAGCCCUGGGGUCUCAUCCAGCACCUCAUCUGGGAUGUUUGGGGCUAGUGCUCACCAAAAAAAAGCAGAGUCAGCAGGUUUUUGGGGUGGAUUGGUGAUGGCAGCUCACUUUUGGCUCUGAUGGUUGAGUCCAGUAUCAGCUUGUGGAGCCCGUCCCCGAACGCGUGCGCCGGCAGCUGGCUCCUAUUUUAUAGAAAAGAUGUGUGUCAUCUUCAGAGUUUAACGUCAGGGAGGAGACAGGACUCCCAGAACCUUGUCUUUUUUUAACUGCUGGGGAAAAAAAAAAAGCCAGCUCGUAGGUAUUAAAGAGGCUGAACCCGGCCUGCAGGGAAGAACAUCUUUGUGACUGCAACAAGGGAACGAAAUACCGGCUUUCACAUUCUCUUUGGUGCUGAGAUUCUGGUUUUAAAGGCGAAAUAUCCUCAAAUAUGAAGAACUAAGGCUCCCUACGUGUGUGAUGUUUAGAAUUGUGUUCUUCUAGGAAUUUUUAAAAGCAGCCUGAUUGGCAGCGUUAACACUUUCCGGGGAAUCUUGGGUGGCUUUAACCUUUGGGGCCGAGCUCCAGGUGUUGCUGAUGUCAACCCGAAAGGGAGUAUCGAGCUGGCGGGAUCAAAGGGCAGCACUUUUAAAACUUGACCCUAUUUCAAAUCGGGAUUUAUCUUUUUUUAAUAGGGGUGAUGGCUGGAUGAAUCAUCCAGGUGAGGCAGGGCCAGUGAGUUUUUCCCCUGUAGGUCACUCCUCGCCGCUGUCCCCUCCAGCUGCAGGGACAAAGGUGGGAAUUUGUGCUUUUAGGGGCUAAAACUGCUUUUAAUUUCCCCGCCUGCCUGAAGGGAGCAGACUUUAAUUUGGCUCGAGGUAAUAUUUCACUUUGCCUCCUCGCUGCCAGCUCCAGCAAUGACUUGCCCCUGGUGGCUCCGUGGUGACUCGUGGCCUUGUCCUCCCUGGGAUGUCGCUGUUAACGACGGGCAGUGAUUUUAUUAGUGAGACAGGAUGUUGGAUGGUUGAAUGGGUCAAAUACUCCCAUAAGUGUCAUCUCUGCGUGUGACAAGGGGCUGGUGGGGGGAGCAGGACCGUCCCCCGCCUCCGGUGGCUUCUUUGGUGCCUUUUGUUCCUUGGUGGCUCUGGGGGGACGUGGGGUGACAAACCCCUUUCUGUAAGAAACGGGAAGGGAUGGGCAGAGCUGAGUCACCCCCUUGGCCCUGCCCCUUCCCCAGCGCAUUCAUUUCUCAUUAGUCAGCUCGGAGGGUGCUGCUUUAUUGGGGGUUUUUAGUGAAAUCACCCCGUUUUUGGCCAGUGGUGUGUCACAGCUGAGGGGCUGAGCUCCCACUUCUCUCAGCAACUGCUUCCAGCUCCUCUGCUCCGUGGGGCACACGUGGUCCCCGGCUGCUUUCGGCGUCGAGCUUGUGAGUCUCUCUCACUUCCAACCCGUCUUGGCAACUUCAAUUCUCCUCUUUUACAAAAAUACCGUCUUUUGGGGCCGGGAGAAGGUGGGUUUUUUGCCCCCCCCCCGACGCUGUGUGUUGGCGACGGGCUGCCCUCGUGGAGCGACUGUAAAUACCCCCGUAGUCGAAUGUCACGGCCAUUGGAUUAUUAUUUUUUAUUUUUUUUUCCGCAUUUAUUUUUAAACUAUUCCAUGUUUGAUACUGUCUAUAAAUAAAUUUGCAGAAUUUAGAGGAUUAGAACUUUUC
rnacentral:lncRNA from 1 species